rnacentral:tRNA from 1 species
UGUAAAAUAAGCUAAAUAUUAAGCUGUUGGGUUCAUACCCCAAAAAUGAGGUUUAACUCUUUUACAA